AGAGCGAACGCUGGCGGCAUGCUUAACACAUGCAAGUCGCACGGGCAGGGCAACCUGUCAGUGGCGGACGGGUGAGUAACGCGUAGGAAUCUAUCCACGGGUGGGGGAUAACGCCGGGAAACUGGUGCUAAUACCGCAUGAUACCUGAGGGUCAAAGGCGCAAGUCGCCUGUGGAGGAGCCUGCGUCCGAUUAGCUAGUUGGUGGGGUAACUGCCUACCAAGGCGACGAUCGGUAGCUGGUCUGAGAGGAUGAUCAGCCACAUUGGGACUGAGACACGGCCCAAACUCCUACGGGAGGCAGCAGUGGGGAAUAUUGGACAAUGGGCGAAAGCCUGAUCCAGCAAUGCCGCGUGGGUGAAGAAGGUCUUCGGAUUGUAAAGCCCUUUCGGCGGGGACGAUGAUGACGGUACCCGCAGAAGAAGCUCCGGCCAACUUCGUGCCAGCAGCCGCGGUAAUACGAAGGGGGCUAGCGUUGCUCGGAAUGACUGGGCGUAAAGGGCGCGUAGGCGGUUUAGUGAGUUGGGCGUGAAAUUCCUGGGCUUAACCUGGGGGCUGCGUUCAAUACCACUAGGCUUGAGUGUGGAAGAGGGUCGUGGAAUUCCCAGUGUAGAGGUGAAAUUCGUAGAUA
rnacentral:rRNA from 1 species